UACGUAGGGGGCAAGCGUUGUCCGGAUUUAUUGGGCGUAAAGAGCGUGUAGGCGGCUUUGCAGGUCCGCUGUGAAAACUCGAGGCUCAACCUCGAGACGCCGGUUGAAACCAUCUGACUAGAGUCCGGAAGAGGAGAGUGGAAUUCCUGGUGUAGCGGUGAAAUGCGUAGAUAUCGGGAGGAACACCAGUGGCGAAGGCGAUCAUCUGGGGUUGUUCUGACACUGAGGAGCGAAAGCUAGGGGAGCAAACGGG
rnacentral:rRNA from 1 species